rnacentral:rRNA from 1 species
GCCGCCCGUACCCCAAACCGACUCAGGUGAUCAGGUAGAGAAUACCGAGGCGAUCGAGACAACCAUGGUUAAGGAACUCGGCAAAAUGCCCCCGUAACUUCGGGAGAAGGGGGGCCCCAACCUUGAGCACCACGUGCUGGUGUGAGGGGAUCGGGGCCGCAGAGACCAGGGGGAAGCGACUGUUUAUCAAAAACACAGGGCUCUGCAAAAUCGUAAGAUGAAGUAUAGGGCCUGACACCUGCCCGGUGCUGGAAGGUUAAGAGGACCUGUUAGGCAGCAAUGCCGAAGCGGAGAAUUUAAGCCCCAGUAAACGGCGGUGGUAACUAUAACCAUCCUAAGGUAGCGAAAUUCCUUGUCGGGUAAGUUCCGACCUGCACGAAUGGUGUAACGAUCUGGGCACUGUCUCGGCCGUGAGCUCGGUGAAAUUGUAGUAGCGGUGAAGAUGCCGCUUACCCGCCACGGGACGGAAAGACCCCGUGCACCUUUACUAUAGCUUUGCAUUGUUUUCGGGUCAGGGAUGUGUAGGAUAGGUGGGAGGCUAUGAAGUUGUGUCGCCAGGCAUGAUGGAGCCAACGUUGAAAUACCACCCUUCGCUGGCCUGGGAUCUAAUCCGACUAUGUCGGAGACCGUGCAUGGUGGGUAGUUUGACUGGGGUGGUCGCCUCCAAAAGAGUAACGGAGGCUUCUAAAGGUUCCCUCAGCACGCUUGGUAACCGUGCGUAGAGUGCAAUGGCAUAAGGGAGCUUGACUGAGAGACAUACAGGUCGAUCAGGUACGAAAGUAGAGCAUAGUGAUCCGGUGGUUCCGCAUGGAAGGGCCAUCGCUCAAAGGAUAAAAGGUACGCCGGGGAUAACAGGCUGAUACUGCCCAAGAGUCCAUAUCG